GUUGGACCGUAUGGAAAAGCAAAUGUAGGCAUAAGUAACGAUAAGGCGGGUGGGAAACCCGCCCACCGAAAGACCAAGGUUUCCUGAUCAACGUUAAUCGGAUCAGGGUCAGUCGGGACCUAAGGCGCACCCGAAGGGGGCAAGCCGAUGGACAACUGGUUAAUAUUCCAGUACUCUUCAUAACUGCGAUGUGGUGACGGAGUAGUGACACUGCCGCGAACUGACGGA
rnacentral:ncRNA from 1 species